AGAUGUAACUAGGGGUGUCCAAUGAGUUGGGCUGAGAGAUAAGCGCGGUAAAGCUUAUCGACCCUUUGGACCUGAUCUGGCUCAUACCAGCGUGGGGAAGUUUAAGAAUUGAUUU
rnacentral:ncRNA from 2 species